AACGAACGCUGGCGGCAUGCCUAACACAUGCAAGUCGAACGAGACCUUCGGGUCUAGUGGCGCACGGGUUCGUAACGCGUGGGAACCUGCCCUUAGGUUCGGAAUAACUCCCCGAAAGGGGUGCUAAUACCGGAUAAUGUCUUCGGACCAAAGAUUUAUCGCCUUUGGAUGGGCACGCGUUGGAUUAGCUAGUUGGUAGGGUAAAAGCCUACCAAGGCGACGAUCAAUAGCUGGUCUGAGAGGAUGAUCAGCCACACUGGGACUGAGACACGGCCCAGACUCUUACGGGAGGCAGCAGUGGGGAAUAGUGGAAAAUGGGCGAAAGCCUGAUCCAGCAAGGCCGCGUGAGUGAUGAAGGCCUUAGGGUUGUAAAGCUCUUUUACCCGGGAUGAUAAUGACAGUACCGGGAGAAUAAGCUCCGGCUAACUCCGUG
rnacentral:rRNA from 1 species